UGGAAGAACGUACCUCAGAGGUACAAGCUCAUUGGGACUACUUUGCUUGCCUUUGUCAUCUGCAACAUGGAUAAGGCGAACUUGAGCAUUACUAUAAUUCCAAUGUCUCACCAGUUUGGAUGGAGUUCAUCCGAGGCGGGAUUGGUUCAAUCAUCGUUUUUUGGGGGGUAUGCAUUGAGUCAGUUGCCCGGAGGUUGGCUUGUUAAGAUAUUUAGUGGGAGAUUUGUUUUUUAAAGCUCGUUUCAAGUUUUUAUUAUGUUAUUUAUUUAUACUUAGAACUAUGCAGUUCAUCCGUGGCGGGAUUGGUUCAAUCCCCAAAUGCUUGUUUAUUGAUCUUUUGGCCGAGACAGCUUUGUCAAGAAUUUUGGUAGGAAUUGGAGAAGGCAUUUCCCUAUCUGCCGCAACAGACCUUAUUGCCAAGCAUGACAAUACCUUUGGAAGAGCGUUCCCGAGCUGUAGCAUUUGUCUUUGGUGGUCUAAGUAUAGGAAGUGUUGCAUGGUAUGUU